GUUUGAUCCUGGCUCAGAGUGAACGCCGGCGGCAGGCCUAACACAUGCAAGUCGAGCGGCAGCGCAGCAGUAGCAAUACUGUGGGCGGCGAGCGGCGGACGGGUGAGGAACACAUCGGAAUCUACCCUGUCGUGGGGGACAACGUAGGGAAACUUACGCUAAUACCGCAUACGACCUUCGGGUGAAAGUGGGGGACUCGCAAGAGCCUCACGCGAUUGGAUGAGCCGAUGUCCGAUUAGCUAGUUGGCGGGGUAAUGGCCCACCAAGGCGACGAUCGGUAGCUGGUCUGAGAGGACGACCAGCCACACUGGAACUGAGACACGGUCCAGACUCCUACGGGAGGCAGCAGUGGGGAAUAUUGGACAAUGGGGGCAACCCUGAUCCAGCCAUGCCGCGUGGGUGAAGAAGGCCUUCGGGUUGUAAAGCCCUUUUGUACGGGAAGAAAAGCGUGCGGUUAAUAACCGUACGUGCUGACGGUACCGUAAGAAUAAGCACCGGCUAACUUCGUGCCAGCAGCCGCGGUAAUACGAAGGGUGCAAGCGUUACUCGGAAUUACUGGGCGUAAAGCGUGCGUAGGUGGUUUGUUAAGUCUGAUGUGAAAUCCCCGGGCUCAACCUGGGAAUGGCAUUGGAUACUGGCAGGCUAGAGUGCGGUAGAGGGUGGUGGAAUUCCCGGUGUAGCAGUGAAAUGCGUAGAGAUCGGGAGGAACAUCUGUGGCGAAGGCGGCCACCUGGACCAGCACUGACACUGAGGCACGAAAGCGUGGGGAGCAAACAGGAUUAGAUACCCUGGUAGUCCACGCCCUAAACGAUGCGAACUGGAUGUUGGGCUCAACUUGGAGCUCAGUAUCGAAGCUAACGCGUUAAGUUC
rnacentral:rRNA from 1 species